rnacentral:rRNA from 2 species
ACUGCUGCCUCCCGUAGGAGUAGGGGGAAUCUUCCACAAUGGACGCAAGUCUGAUGGAGCAACGCCGCGUGAGUGAAGAAGGCUUUCGGGUCGUAAAACUCUGUUGUUGGAGAAGAAUGGUCGGCAGAGUAACUGUUGUCGGCNNGACGGUAUCCAACCAGAAAGCCACGGCUAACUACGUGCCAGCAGCCGCGGUAAUAC